GGCCCCGGUGGCCCAGGGGUUAGAGUUUCUGCCUCAGAUGCAGAAUGUCACGGAUUUGAACCUUGUCCGAGUCA